UGCAAUUUUUUCACUAAUUUCCAUACUGGCA
rnacentral:piRNA from 1 species